UAUUUUGUUCAUCAGAAAGAUCGCAUUGACUACAAUGAAGUACUGGAACUACCAGAUACUAGUGAUGAUGGUGGUCUCCAUCAUCGGACAGGCAUAUUCUGAAUCAGUUUUCAGCAGAACGAUGAGUUCUGUUAAAUGUGGUUAUAUUGAACGUUUAUUAACAAAAAUUUACUUAGAAGGACCUAACACUUCCACCGGCACGGGUAGGAGUUCCAGAAGUUAUUUCUCCAGCGGAUCUUGAAAAGGAUGUACAUGUGAAAAGAAUUAACACCAUCUUAGCCGCAACUGGUAAUUACCCGGAAAGUUCAAAUGUUGUCAACGGUACCAAGCAAAUGGUCGAAGGGGUGAUGUACGUUUAUACAGCGUCUAUCCUUGUGUUUCCUAGAUUCUAUAAUGCCCCAGCGGUUUUUCGAGUAUGUACAUUAUCGGCCUGGGAGCGACCGUGGCUGGUGAAAACUGAUUCCAAAAAUACGUAUAUCUACAAAAAUACAUGUCGUCCAAAAAAAAAUUUAAAAUAAAAAUUGAAAAUUCGGA